UUUGAAUUUUUUUGGAUGUGAUUCGUAUUAAUUAAAAUUUGCGGAUUGUAGUGAUGCUGUGAAGAAAUUUCCUAAAGUUUCAAUGUACGACAUUAUGAACUAUUUUCUGUAUAAGAGUGCAUACACAGGAGGAGACUUUGAAGCCUAUAAAAGUUUGGAUUCAUACAAUAUGUUCAUAAGUGAAUGGAUUAGAAGGAUUGGAUAAUUUUUUAUAUGCCUAUGUUUCCUUGAUUCUUUGAACAUACUUCUCACAAAAUGUUUUGAACAUACAUUUGCCCAUUUCAACUUCUCAGUAGUUGAAUCUGCUCUUCCAAUUGCCUUAAUCCUCAAUUCACGUCUAUUUUGAGCAAGAGGAUUAAUAUUUUUCUAUUGUCGAAAAUAGAAGGGAAUCGGUGGAAUGCAACCUUAUCUCUGCCGCUUCUACUUCCACGUUUCACAAUCGCGCAAAAUUGAGGCAUUAUCGAGAAAAAAAAUUUUUUAAAUAUGACAUAAACACAGAAUAAGCAUUUGUAGAUCCGUUUGUUUGUCCAGCAGGCUGAUUUGACAACUGUCAUUUACUGUCGUCUGUCAGAGAUGCCCGCGGUCUAUUAGAUAUAAGAUGUAGAAAUAAAUUAAUGUAGUAGUGGAAAUAAAUUGAUGUAAUAGUUGAAAUAAAUCAUCUGUAAAUAGUUGUUUAUAGUUGUGUACCUGAAAUAAAUUAGUAUUAGUAAGGAAGUACCGAUUUAAUUAACCGAAAAACGUAACAAUUGGUGUCAGGUGUGGGGUUCGCGUGUUUUCGAACCGAGAGUUAAUUAUAUCGUGAACAUUUCUGUGGAUAUUUUUGUAGACAUUAUCGUGGACAUUUUUUUAGUGAACAUUCUCGUGGGCAUUUUGUGGAAAUUCUCGUGGAAAUUUCUGUGGAAAGUAGUGUAAACAUUUUUGGGCCCUUUCUUUUAAUUCCAAUUACGAGAUCACGAAAAUGGAUCAGACAAGCUUGGAAUUCUUUAAGCAAGCUUUUGAACAACUGACCAACAAGCAAAUGCAGGAUAACCAUAUUGCAAUGAAGGAAAACAUUAAGUCGCUACAAAAUAAAAUAGAGGAUAAUUGUAGAAGAAUGGUGGAUAACACGAAAAGGUUAGGGAGUACUUGGAAUUAGGUUGAAUCGAAGAAACUGGAGGAUCAUGAAAGGAACCAGAAUAAUCAGGAAGUGUCAAAAAUGAUGGAUGCUAUACCAGAUAAGAAAAAAGAACAUUGUAAAUGACGAAAGCCAGGAGAUAGCGGCAAAUGAGAGCUAUAGAGAACCUCAUAACCUGAAAAGUGAAAUCCAGAAGCCUUCUACAUUCGAGGCAGAGGUUAUGGACAGUGAUGAAAGAGUGCAAAGCGUAAUAAACGAGGGACAAGAGUUGCUACAUUCGAAUCACUAUGCCAAAGAUGAGAUAGUCAUAAGGUCGAAGAGGAUUGGAAGAGACUGUUGGAACUCAAGCAGAUCAAAUGGAAAACCUGAACGAGGCAUAUCAAGCACUGCUCUUCAGCAGGUCAGUCGGAGAGUUCGAUGUUUGGCCAGGUGAAGUGGAGAUUCAAGUUAGUAACAAUUUCGGAAAUGACUUGGCUUCAGACAACAAAUCCGAAGAUGCCACCCAGCUUUGGAAAAUGACUACCAACAGCACUACACACAGAAAACUACGAGUGAAUCAACGAGAUAGACGAGGAGGUACAGUGGUUGAGCGACAGGAAAUCGCUGGCAGCGUCUUUGGACCUGGAUAUCAGUCUUAAGGUAGCAUUCCGAUCUCGGCAGUCGCGACCCAACAGUUGCUUUUCACAAAACACAUUCAAAAAUUCUUCGAUAUCAUCUCCGUUAGCUCCGUCAUCGUUCGGCAAAUCAAGAACGCACCUUUUGCACUGUGGUCACGUAACCUAUCAACCGUUUACACCUUAAGGUAGCAUUCCGAUCUCGGCAGUCGCGACCCAGCAGUCGCUGCCCGGCAGCCGCAGCCGUGGUCGCGGCAUACCGCUCGUAGGGAUUUACAUGCAACGCUUUCCGAUACAAGCGACUUUGCAGCGCGGUUGGGGGGCGUGUCCUGCACGCGACCACGGCAGCGCCGCCGAGCCGCUUCGGGAGCAUUAUAGCAGCGCUGCCCGCUCUUUACAAUAGUAAACAUGGCUUUGUUUACAGAUGAAAAUGACGAGGUUUUAAUCGAAUUAGUAUCUAAAAAUCCGCCGCUUUUCGAUUCCAGACUCCAGACAAUAUUGUUCGUGAGAAUAUAUGGGAGCAUAUUGCUACUAAACUCAAUAAAACAAACGAUGACUGCAGAAAACGAUGGAAAUGCAUCAGAGAUUCCUAUCAAAGAAUCAAGCGCAAAAAUAAACUACCGACUGGAUCAGCAGCCGGCAGCAAACCAAAAAAAUGGCCUUUGAUUGAAAGACUCAGUUUUUUGG